rnacentral:lncRNA from 1 species
GUGGACUCUUCGGUACAUCUUUAUUUCUGUCUUCCAUUUGCACAGCACAUCUUGACUAAACGUGGGCAGUCCAGGACGGGUAUAUUUCAGCUUCCUAUCAUCUGGAAUCAAGUCCUGCAGCACUCUUCUCUUGGGCCACUCUUUGGCCAGCUCUUCUCCAGCUAGCUCAUGGAGAUAGUAGAUUGCCACCUUCGCAGAUCUCCUCUGAACUCUACCUGUACCACUUUGCUC